AUUGAACGCUGGCGGCAGGCCUAACACAUGCAAGUCGAGCGGUAGAGAGAAGCUUGCUUCUCUUGAGAGCGGCGGACGGGUGAGUAAUGCCUAGGAAUCUGCCUGGUAGUGGGGGAUAACGUUCGGAAACGGACGCUAAUACCGCAUACGUCCUACGGGAGAAAGCAGGGGACCUUCGGGCCUUGCGCUAUCAGAUGAGCCUAGGUCGGAUUAGCUAGUUGGUGAGGUAAUGGCUCACCAAGGCGACGAUCCGUAACUGGUCUGAGAGGAUGAUCAGUCACACUGGAACUGAGACACGGUCCAGACUCCUACGGGAGGCAGCA
rnacentral:rRNA from 1 species